rnacentral:rRNA from 1 species
GAGUAGCUUGCUUACUUUGCCGGCGAGCGGCGGACGGGUGAGUAAUGUCUGGGAAACUGCCUGAUGGAGGGGGAUAACUACUGGAAACGGUAGCUAAUACCGCAUGACCUCGAAAGAGCAAAGUGGGGGACCUUCGGGCCUCACGCCAUCGGAUGUGCCCAGAUGGGAUUAGCUAGUAGGUGAGGUAAUGGCUCACCUAGGCGACGAUCCCUAGCUGGUCUGAGAGGAUGACCAGCCACACUGGAACUGAGACACGGUCCAGACUCCUACGGGAGGCAGCAGUUGGGGAAUAUUGCACAAUGGGCGCAAGCCUGAUGCAGCCAUGCCGCGUGUGUGAAGAAGGCCUUCGGGUUGUAAAGCACUUUCAGCGAGGAGGAAGGCGUUAAGGUUAAUAACCUUAGCGAUUGACGUUACUCGCAGAAGAAGCACCGGCUAACUCCGUGCCAGCAGCCGCGGUAAUACGGAGGGUGCAAGCGUUAAUCGGAAUUACUGGGCGUAAAGCGCACGCAGGCGGUUUGUUAAGUCAGAUGUGAAAUCCCCGAGCUUAACUUGGGAACUGCAUUUGAAACUGGCAAGCUAGAGUCUUGUAGAGGGGGGUAGAAUUCCAGGUGUAUGCGGUGAAAUGCGUAGAGAUCUGGAGGAAUACCGGUGGCGAAGGCGGCCCCCUGGACAAAGACUGACGCUCAGGUGCGAAAGCGUGGGGAGCAAACAGGAUUAGAUACCCUGGUAGUCCACGCUGUAAACGAUGUCGAUUUGGAGGUUGUGGGCUUGACCCGUGGCUUCCGGAGCUAACGCGUUAAAUCGACCGCCUGGGGAGUACGGCCGCAAGGUUAAAACUCAAAUGAAUUGACGGGGGCCCGCACAAGCGGUGGAGCAUGUGGUUUAAUUCGAUGCAACGCGAAGAACCUUACCUACUCUUGACAUCCAGAGAAUUCGCUAGAGAUAGCUUAGUGCCUUCGGGAACUCUGAGACAGGUGCUGCAUGGCUGUCGUCAGCUCGUGUUGUGAAAUGUUGGGUUAAGUCCCGCAACGAGCGCAACCCUUAUCCUUUGUUGCCAGCGCGUAAUGGCGGGAACUCAAAGGAGACUGCCGGUGAUAAACCGGAGGAAGGUGGGGAUGACGUCAAGUCAUCAUGGCCCUUUACGAGUAGGGCUACACACGUGCUACAAUGGCAUAUACAAAGAGAAGCGAACUCGCGAGAGCAAGCGGACCUCAUAAAGUAUGUCGUAGUCCGGAUUGGAGUCUGCAACUCGACUCCAUGAAGUCGGAAUCGCUAGUAAUCGUAGAUCAGAAUGCUACGGUGAAUACGUUCCCGGGCCUUGUACACACCGCCCGUCACACCAUGGGAGUGGGUUGCAAAAGAAGUAGGUAGCUUAACCUUCGGGAGGGCGC